GCCUAGGUAGCUUAGUUGGUUAAGCAUCUGACUUCAGCUCAGGUCAUGAUCUUGUGGUCCGUGAGUUCGAGCCCUGCAUUGGGUU
rnacentral:tRNA from 1 species